AGGUGCAUAGUAUAAGGAAUAUAUGGGCCUUCAAAGCCUGGGAAGCACGAUUUGUGGCUGCGCCUG
rnacentral:tRNA from 1 species